AGAGUAACAACAAAGAGUAAAAAGGGAAUAGAAAUUUAAUUAGAAAAGUACAACAGGAGACAGACAGACAGACGUACCCGAGUGUGUCAUAGAGGGAAGAAAAGGAAGAUUAUCAAGACGCGAGCAGUGGAGGGAGGCGGCGGGGGAGACAGCGGGAAGACAGGGCGAGGGCGGAUGGCGGUGAGGUGUUCGUCCAUGAGGCUUUCACUUUCCUGCUCACCUGUGGAUCUGAUCAAAGACUCCGGCGUGAUGGGCGAGGCUGACGAGGCGGGAGAGAAAGACUCCGGUGUGAUGGACGAGGCCGAGGAAGCAGGAGAGAAUGGUAAGUUUGAUCUGUUUUACCUAAUUUACCUUUACUUACCUGAUUUCCAGAUGUGAACAGUGUAUUUACUCGAGUGUGUGUGUG